UUCUGGUUGAUCCUGCCAGAGGUCACUGCUAUCGGUGUCCGAUUAAGCCAUGCGAGUCGAGAGGUGUAAGACCUCGGCAGACUGCUCAGUAACACGUGGAUAACCUGCCCAAGGGUCCGGGAUAACCCCGGGAAACUGGGGAUAAUACCGGAUGGGUCACCAGUGCUGGAAUGCUUGGUGGUCGAAAGGUGACGCCUUUGGAUGGGUCUGCGGCGGAUUAGGUUGACGCCGGUGUAACGUACCGGCGUGCCUGUAAUCCGUACGGGUUGUGGGAGCAAGAGCCCGGAGAUGGAUUCUGAGACACGAAUCCAGGCCCUACGGGGCGCAGCAGGCGCGAAAACUCUACAAUGCAGGCAACUGCGAUAGGGGGACAUCGAGUGGCAUCCACCUUGGGUGUCUGUCCAACCGUCUAAAAAACGGUUGUUAGCAAGGGCCGGGCAAGACCGGUGCCAGCCGCCGCGGUAAUACCGGCGGCUCGAGUGGUGGCCGAUAUUAUUGAGUCUAAAGGGUCCGUAGCCGGCUUUGCAAGUCCCCUGGGAAAUCCGGCGGCUUAACCGUUGGGCUUUCAUGGGAUACUACAUUGCUUGGGACUGGGAGAGGUAGGAGGUACUCGGGGGGUAGGGGUGAAAUCCUGUAAUCCUCCGGGGACCACCGGUGGCGAAGGCGUCCUACCAGAACAGGUCCGACGGUGAGGGACGAAAGCUAGGGGCACGAACCGGAUUAGAUACCCGGGUAGUCCUAGCCGUAAACGAUGCCCGCUAGGUGUCACGACGGUCGUGAAUCGUCGUGGUGCCGUAGGGAAGCCGCGAAGCGGGCCACUUGGGAAGUACGGCCGCAAGGCUGAAACUUAAAGGAAUUGGCGGG
rnacentral:rRNA from 1 species